UGAACGCUGGCGGCGUGCCUAACACAUGCAAGUCGAACGAAGCACUAUAACAGAUCCUCGGGAGAAGAUAGAGUGACUGAGUGGCGGACGGGUGAGUAACGCGUGGGUAACCUGCCCUGUACAGGGGGAUAACAGUUAGAAAUGACUGCUAAUACCGCAUAAGCGCACGAUGGUAGCAUUACCAGGUGUGAAAAACUCCGGUGGUACAGGAUGGGCCCGCGUCUGAUUAGCUGGUUGGCGGGGUAAGAGCCCACCAAGGCGACGAUCAGUAGCCGGUCUGAGAGGAUGAACGGCCACAUGGAACUGAGACACGGUCCAAACUCCUACGGGAGGCAGCAGGUGGGGAAUAUUGCACAAUGGGGGGAACCCUGAUGCCAGCAACGCCGCGUGGGUGAAGAAGUAUUUCGGUAUGUAAAGCCCUAUCAGCAGGGAAGAUAGUGACGGUACCUGACUAAGAAGCUCCGGCUAAAUACGUGCCAGCAGCGGC
rnacentral:rRNA from 1 species